rnacentral:rRNA from 1 species
UAACUGCUAGAAACUUUUUGGUAUAGUUAGUGAAGCCUGCCCGCUGAUUAGAAACAUAAUCUAGUUGAAGGGCCGCGGUAACUCUGACCGUGCUAAGGUAGCAUAAUCAAUUGCCAUAUAAUUUGUGGCUGGAAUGAAUGGCUUUACGAGUUUCCCCCUGUCUCAGUUAUACCCCAAUCGAAAUUAAGCUAGCCGUGAAGACGCGGCUUUAUCUUGGAAGGACGAGAAGACCCCGUUGAGCUUAACUCUAUUUCCCCACUCUAAUUAUGUUUUAGAAUAUCAGAGAAUUGGGAGAAAAGGGAGUUUGGUUGGGGCGACCACCUAAAUAAAAGUAACUUAGGUAGGCUAAGGUUAGUAACUAAUGUAGUAAGCUUAAUUAAUAGAUUGAUAAAUCAGUUAGAUAGUGUUAACUAAGCCAUAAUGACCCUGCCAUAAUCGGCAGAAAUUAGAUAAAAGUUACCACGGGGAUAACAGGGUUAUCUGGUUGCAAAGUUCGUAUUGAAGACCAGGUUUGCCACCUCGAUGUUGAAUAGCAGUGUCCUAAGGGUGCAGCAGCU